GGAUGGUCUAGCCAUGCGAGUCAUUGUAGCAAUACAAGGGCGGACGGCUCAGUAACACGUAGUCAACCUAACUCGGUGGACGUGGAUAACCUCGGGAAACUGAGAAUAAACCACGAUAGAUCAUAGUGCCUGGAAUGGCUUAUGGUCCAAACAGUUUACUGCCAUGGGAUGGGACUGCGGCCUAUCAGCUUGUUGGUGAGGUAAUGGCCCACCAAGGCGAUUACAGGUACGGGCUCUGAGAGGAGUAGCCCGGAGAUGGGUACUGAGACACGGACCCAGGCCCUAUGGGGCGCAGCAGGCGAGAAACCUUAGCAAUGUGCGAAAGCACGACUGGGUCAGUCCGAGUGAUUCCUGAUAAAGGAGUCUUUUACCUGUCCUAAAAGCACAGGUGAAUAAGGGGUGGGCAAGUCUGGUGUCAGCCGCCGCGGUAAUACCAGCACCUCGAGUGGUCAGGACGUUUAUUGGGCCUAAAGCAUCCGUAGCCGGCUCUGCAAGUCUUCGGUUAAAUCCACCUGCUCAACAGAUGGGCCGCUGGAGAUACUACAGAGCUAGGGAGUGGGAGAGGCANACGGUAUUCAGUGGGUAGGGGUAAAAUCCUCUGAUCCAUUGAGGACCACCAGUGGCGAAGGCGGUCUGCCANAACACGUUCGACGGUGAGGGAUGAAAGCUGGGGGAGCAAACCGGAUUAGAUACCCGGGUAGUCCCAGCUGUAAACGAUGCAAACUCGGUGAUGCAUUGGCUUAUGGCCAAUGCAGUGCCGCAGGGAAGCCGUUAANUUUGCCGCCUGGGAAGUACGGACGCAAGUCUGAAACUUAAAGGAAUUGGCGGGGGAGCACCACAAGGGGUGAAGCCUGCGGUUCANUUGGAUUCAACGCCGGGAA
rnacentral:rRNA from 1 species